GGCAUUAUAGAACAUGUAAAUUGUGCUUUUUAUUCCAGUUAGCACUUUAGCAUUAGCUUCUGCUAAAUACUUUGUUGGCGUAGCAGCUUAGAAUUAGCAGAAGUAAUGAUAAUGAUUAGCGCUUUAGAGUUAGCGCAGCUAUCUGUUUAGCUAGCGGUGCCCACCACUGCCAGUGUGGAGAAAUGGAGAAGCUGAGUGAAUGUGGAGCAGAGGUCAUCAGGAUAACUGCUGGUCCAACGCCGGGUUCACAGCGCCAAGCUGCUUCACUUCUGACUGGACUUCAACAUGGAAACGUCACCAACGGCUGGAGGACCGGCAGAACGGUUCUGAGCGGCCCGGUGGCGUUAGCUUAAUGCUCUCUAGCCUGGAUGCUGGCUAGAGAGCAUCAAGCAGCAGGUGACCAAUCAUGAUGUGAUGUAUGACAUCAUCUUUAGGGGUCGUCACAUCUCAGCCUGACCUUAGUAUCGCCCACUUUAGCCGAUCCAUGACGGGUUCAGAAGUUUUCACUUUCCUGUCUGGUCUGAAAGCUUGGCUCUUCUUCACCGCAGUUCUGGUGAAACGCAGGUUCUGGCACGUUUCACCAGAACCCGUCCGGAUCAGGAGACCCGGGUUGGUUUGGCCUGAAUCCGUCCGGACCAGGAGACCCGGGUUGGUUUGGCCUGAACCCGUCCAGACCAGGAGACCCGGGUUGGUUUGGCCUGAACCCGUCCAGACCAGGAGACCCGGGUUGGUUUGGUAACCAGCAGCUAGCCAGAAGACGACCGCCUGCUUCCUCAGCCAAUCCCUGAUCGUCUCCAAAGUGUUGCGGUUUUCUGGGAUGGAGAUGAUCGGUGAACGUUUCCCAGCGGUUUGAAAAUCAGAAAUGUUCUGUUUGUACUUUAGUUGUUUUCAGAUCCUGGUUGGUUAGGAAUCUGUCAGCUGGUUGUUAGCACUAAGCCAAACUGAUUUAAGGUUUUAUUGGAAGUUUUCCUUUAAGGAAGGUUUCCCGUCAGCGACUCCCUCGGUGUGUUUCUGCAGAGGGAGCGUCCGUUUGUCCCACCGUCCCUGAAGAACCUGGUGAUUUCAUGGACUGCUGCUGUGGAGAUUGUCGAUGCAUGCCUGAUAUGUUCGAUGUUGAAACUGAAUCAGAAAAAAAGUUGAAAAUAAUGAAAUUGUCGAAGCACAGCUGAUUCCACAUGUCUGCUCUGAAAUGUAACGUUCUUUUCUUUGGUUCCUGUUCUUCACUGUUGGUUCCUCCGAUACUUUCUGCAGAACUUGGAUUUUCCCGGAGAAGCUCUGGGAAACAGGAAGUUGAGUAUAUAUAUUUAAAAAGAAAGCAUGUAUGUUUUCUACUGUUUGUACCUGGUAUUUUCCUGUUGCCCUUGCUGCUUCUGUGCCAAUGUUGUGGGAGAGAUUUACAUUUGGCCACUCAUGCAACUAUUCUGUGGUGUUGUCUGAGAAUGUAUUAACAUGAAAUAAAAGCAUUUGUUAUUUUUUCUA